rnacentral:rRNA from 1 species
AGUGAACGCUGGCGGUAGGCCUAACACAUGCCAGUCGAACGGCAGCACAGUAAGAGCUUGCUCUUACGGGUGGCGAGUGGCGGACGGGUGAGGAAUACAUCGGAAUCUACUUUUUCGUGGGGGAUAACGUAGGGAAACUUACGCUAAUACCGCAUACGACCUACGGGUGAAAGCAGGGGAUCUUCUGACCUUGCGCGAUUGAAUGAGCCGAUGUCGGAUUAGCUAGUUGGCGGGGUAAAGGCCCACCAAGGCGACGACCCGUAGCUGGUCUGAGAGGAUGAUGCGCCACACUCGAACUGAGACACGGUCCAGACUCCUACGGGAGGCAGCAGUGGGGAAUAUUGGACAAUGGGCGCAAGCCUGAUCCAGCCAUACCGCGUGGGUGAAGAAGGCCUUCGGGUUGUAAAGCCCUUUUGUUGGGAAAGAAAAGCAGCAGGUUAAUACCCCGCUGUUCUGACGGUACCCAAAGAAUAAGCACCGGCUAACUUCGUG